GACGAACGCUGGCGGCACGCUUAAAACAUGCAAGUCGAACGUGAAGCCCGGGCUUGCCCGGGUGGAAAGUGGCGAACGGGUGCGUAACACGUGAGCAACCUGCCCCGAAGACCGGGAUAACACCGGGAAACCGGUGCUAAUACCGGAUGUCUUCACCAUGUCGCAUGGCGAGGUGAAGUAAUGGAUUCCGCUUCGGGAUGGGCUCGCGGCCUAUCAGCUUGUUGGUGGGGUAACGGCCUACCAAGGCAACGACGGGUAGCUGGUCUGAGAGGAUGUCCAGCCACACUGGGACUGAGACACGGCCCAGACUCCUGCGGGAGGCAGCAGUUGGGAAUCUUGCGCAAUGGGCGAAAGCCUGACGCAGCGAUGCCGCGUGCGGGAUGAAGGCCCUCGGGUCGUAAACCGCUUUCAGCAGGGACGAUUGUGACGGUACCUGCAGAAGAAGCCCCGGCCAACUACGUGCCAGCCGCCGCCGUAAAAC
rnacentral:rRNA from 1 species